UACGUAGGUCCCGAGCGUUGUCCGGAUUUAUUGGGCGUAAAGCGAGCGCAGGUGGUUUAUUAAGUCUGGUGUAAGAGGCAGUGGCUCAACCAUUGUAUGCAUUGGAAACUGGUAGACUUGAGUGCAGGAGAGGAGAGUGGAAUUCCAUGUGUAGCGGUGAAAUGCGUAGAUAUAUGGAGGAACACCGGUGGCGAAAGCGGCUCUCUGGCCUGUAACUGACACUGAGACUCGAAAGCGUGGGGAGCAAACAGG
rnacentral:rRNA from 1 species